AUGAAAUGUUGUCCAAGGUCAAUUUUUGACCUAAACAAAUAUAGAAAGAACAACAUAGAAUCAUACCAAAGUUCCCUCACACGUCUUGUUCCCCAAGUUACCGUUACAUCAUACCCUCCUUCUCUAUCUGGGCCCAGAAUCCAAACUAUCAACCAAAGUGGGCCCAUAUCAAAGCCCAUAUCAAAACUAGGGUUUCCAGUUUCGUUUCGUUUAUAUACUUCACACAACACGUGUACCCUGGUGCGGUGCAGUGCAGCCUUUUUUCUCUGCCCUCCCAAAAUUUCAAGAAAAAAAACCAAAAAAAAUUCAGUUUCUCCGCCGUUCCGAUCACCGGAGGGUUUAUCCUUACUCCAUUACCACUCUCAGAGAAACAAAAUCCAAAAAAAUCGAAACAACUGA